AGAAAAUGAAAAAGUUACAAAAACUAGUCAGCACCAGAAGAAAGUAUAUGGCUGCACUAGAGGAAUUUUGGACGUUUACCAAUGUUGCUUUUCAGCUGCUUCAUCCCCACUGCUCUUCUGUCCUACACGUGAGAGGCCAGCACUGGUGGUGUAAAUUCUGCCCUGGGGUCCUACUGCUUGUUCUCCAGGUACCACGGAUCCAAAGCUGACAGGAGCUGGAGCCAUCCUAAGAAUCACCUGCUGUUCAGCAAGGAGACAGGCCCCAAGUAGCUCAGCUCCAUCUGAUUUGAUAGCUGUACCCUAUCCAGUCAUCAGUCAAAACCCACCAGUGGCCAGGCCUGGAGCUGGGCUUAUUAAGCCCAUUAUC